CGCAAGGCUAAAACUCAAAGAAUUGACGGGGCCCGCACAAGCGGCGGAGCAUGUGGCUUAAUUCGACGCAACGCGAAGAACCUUACCAAGGCUUGACAUACACCGGAAAGCAUCAGAGAUGGUGCCCCCCUUGUGGUCGGUGUACAGGUGGUGCAUGGCUGUCGUCAGCUCGUGUCGUGAGAUGUUGGGUUAAGUCCCGCAACGAGCGCAACCCUUGUCCCGUGUUGCCAGCAGGCCCUUGUGGUGCUGGGGACUCACGGGAGACCGCCGGGGUCAACUCGGAGGAAGGUGGGGACGACGUCAAGUCAUCAUGCCCCUUAUGUCUUGGGCUGCACACGUGCUACAAUGGCCGGUACAAUGAGCUGCGAUACCGCGAGGUGGAGCGAAUCUCAAAAAGCCGGUCUCAGUUCGGAUUGGGGUCUGCAACUCGACCCCAUGAAGUCGGAGUCGCUAGUAAUCGCAGAUCAGCAUUGCUGCGGUGAAUACGUUCCCGGGCCUUGUACACACCGCCCGUCACGUCACGAAAGUCGGUAACACCCGAAGCCGGUGGCCCAACCCCUUGUGGGAGGGAGCUGUCGAAGGUGGGACUGGCGAUUGGGACG
rnacentral:rRNA from 1 species